GACGAAGGGGGCUAGCGUUGUUCGGAAUUACUGGGCGUAAAGCGAGUGUAGGUGGUUGUCCAAGUUGGAUGUGAAAGCCUUGAGCUCAACUCAAGAAAUGCAUUCAGGACUGGGCGGCUAGAGGACCGGAGAGGAUAGUGGAAUUCCCAGUGUAGUGGUGAAAUACGUAGAUAUUGGGAAGAACACCGGUGGCGAAGGCGGCGCUCUGGACCGAGACUGACGCUGAGGUGCGAAAGCGUGGGGAGCAAACAGG
rnacentral:rRNA from 1 species